UUUUUUAUUUUUUUAUUUUUUAUUUUUCUUCACUUUCUUUUCAUUCUCUGCAUAUUUUCUAUUUAUGGCAUCUUUUCUUUUGUUCUUUACCACAACCGUAGCCACUGCCUCGAAGCGCUAUUCCUUCUCGCUGUCUUCAAAUCUUGCGACACCUUCGUGCCCGUCCACGGAUACUACCUUCGUUAUAGCCUUAGCUCUGUGAUCUGUAUUAUAUUCGAACUUGCAUUGUCGCAGUCCGCAUCGCGGUAUGUGUGGGCAAGGUAGAGAAGAGGCACAUGGCGUCAACAUGAAGGGAGUAGAGAAGAAGGAAGAGGAAGUAGGAAGAGAAAGAGAGAACGGAGUAUCGAAGAGGAGGGUGACGAAGAGAAGGAAAACAAAUGAGAGAGAACGGAGAGAGAAUAAGAAAUAAGAAUAAUUUAAUCAGUUUACUAAAAAUUUAGACUUCAAUUUACAAAACUGAAAAACUAAAUCUUUACAAAAAUUCAAAACAAAUAAUUUUUUUAUACAAAAUUGCCUAUAUAUUC
rnacentral:lncRNA from 1 species